AAAAGGUGGAUGCAUUAUCAACUUUGAGAACUCAUACAUAUUCAUGUUUCAAAUUAAGCCCUCCUGUAGAGGAAAUGGUGGAAAGAAAGCAUUUCAACUCUGAAGAACAAGAGACUUGCCAAGAAUUAUAUCAUCUGUGGAGAAGUCGGCCUCUUUCCGGAAUGUCCCCCGACCAAAGUCUAGGUUAUAUGAGUCUGCCAGACCA
rnacentral:misc_RNA from 1 species